GACGAACGCUGGCGGCGUGCUUAACACAUGCAAGUCGAACGGAAAGGCCCUGCUUUUGUGGGGUGCUCGAGUGGCGAACGGGUGAGUAACACGUGAGUAACCUGCCCUUGACUUUGGGAUAACUUCAGGAAACUGGGGCUCAUACCGGAUAGGAGCUCCUGCUGCAUGGUGGGGGUUGGAAAGUUUCGGCGGUUGGGGAUGGACUCGCGGCUUAUCAGCUUGUUGGUGGGGUAGUGGCUUACCAAGGCUUUGACGGGUAGCCGGCCUGAGAGGGUGACCGGCCACAUUGGGACUGAGGGACGGCCCAGACUCGUACGGGAGGCAGUAGGGGGGAAUAUUGCACAAUGGGCGGAAGCCUGAUGCAGCAACGCCGCGUGCGGAAUGACGGCCUUCGGGGUGUAAACCGCUUUCGCCGGUGACGAAGCGUGAGUGACGGUAAUGGGUAAAGAAGCACCGGCUAACUACGUG
rnacentral:rRNA from 1 species